rnacentral:rRNA from 1 species
GAGUUUGAUCAUGGCUCAGGAUGAACGCUAGCGGCAGGCUUAACACAUGCAAGUCGAGGGGCAUCACGAGGUAGCAAUACUUUGGUGGCGACCGGCGUACGGGUGCGUAACACGUAUGCAACCUUCCUGUAAGUGUGGGAUAGCCUCCUGAAAGGGAGAUUAAUACCUCAUGAUAUGUAUUUGCUGCAUGGCAUUUACAUUAAACAUUUAUGGCUUACAGAUGGGCAUGCGUUCCAUUAGGCAGUUGGUGUGGUAACGGCUCACCAAACCUACGAUGGAUAGGGGUUCUGAGAGGAAGGUCCCCCACACUGGAACUGAGACACGGUCCAGACUCCUACGGGAGGCAGCAGUGAGGAAUAUUGGUCAAUGGGCGCGAGCCUGAACCAGCCACGUCGCGUGAAGGAUGACGGCCUUAUGGGUUGUAAACUUCUUUUACGGGGGAAUAAAGUGAGUCACGUGUGAUUUUUUGCAUGUACCCUGUGAAUAAGCAUCGGCUAACUCCGUGCCAGCAGCCGCGGUAAUACGGAGGAUGCGAGCGUUAUCCGGAUUUAUUGGGUUUAAAGGGUGCGUAGGCGGGAUAUUAAGUCAGCGGUGAAAGUUUUCGGCUCAACCUUAAAAUUGCCGUUGAAACUGUUAUUCUUGAGUGCAGUAGAGGUAGGCGGAAUUCGUUGUGUAGCGGUGAAAUGCGUAGAUAUAACGAGGAACUCCGAUUGCGUAGGCAGCUUACUAUAUUGCUACUGACGCUGAGGCACGAAAGUGUGGGUAUCAAACAGGAUUAGAUACCCUGGUAGUCCACACAGUAAACGAUGAA